rnacentral:rRNA from 1 species
GAUGAACGCUAGCUACAGGCUUAACACAUGCAAGUCGAGGGGCAGCAGGGAUUUAGCUUGCUAAAUUCGCUGGCGACCGGCGCACGGGUGCGUAACGCGUAUCCAACUUUCCCGUUACUCUCGGAUAGCCUUCCGAAAGGGAGAUUAAUACGAGAUGGUGUUUUAAUUCCGCAUGUUAUUAAAAACUAAAGAUUUAUCGGUAUCGGAUGGGGAUGCGUGACAUUAGAUAGUAGGCGGGGUAACGGCCCACCUAGUCUACGAUGUCUAGGGGUUCUGAGAGGAAGGUCCCCACACUGGAACUGAGACACGGUCCAG